GAUGAACGCUGGCGGCGUGCCUAAUACAUGCAAGUCGAGCGAACGGACGAGAAGCUUGCUUCUCUGAUGUUAGCGGCGGACGGGUGAGUAACACGUGGAUAACCUACCUAUAAGACUGGGAUAACUUCGGGAAACCGGAGCUAACACCGGAUAAUAUUUUGAACCGCAUGGUUCAAAAGUGAAAGACGGUCUUGCUGUCACUUAUAGAUGGAUCCGCGCUGCAUUAGCUAGUUGGUAAGGUAACGGCCUACCAAGGCAACGAUGCAUAGCCGACCUGAGAGGGUGAUCGGCCACACUGGAACUGAGACACGGUCCAGACUCCUACGGGAGGCAGCAGUAGGGAAUCUUCCGCAAUGGGCGAAAGCCUGACGGAGCAACGCCGCGUGAGUGAUGAAGGUCUUCGGAUCGUAAAACUCUGUUAUUAGGGAAGAACAUAUGUGUAAGUAACUGUGCACAUCUUGACGGUACCUAAUCAGAAAGCCACGGCUAACUACGUG
rnacentral:rRNA from 1 species